UAAAUUUUUAUAUUAGUUAAUGUUGAAUAAUUAUUAAUAAUUUAAAUUUAGAAGUGAAAUGUUAAUCGAUUUAAAAGAUAUCUAGUUUUUUUAGAAUUAAAUUUAAUUUAAAAUUUAAAUAGAAAAUUUAUAAAAUUUAUUUGUAAAUUUAUAUUUAAAUUUUACUAUUUUUAGGAUAACCUAAGGAUAGAGUUAAUAAUUUUAAAUAAUAAGUUAUAUUAAAAUAUUUAUAGUAAUAGAAAUUUUUAAUAAGUAUGUUUUAAUUUAAAAUUGAAAGUAUAAAAAUAAUUUAAAAAAAAAUUUUAAAUAGUAUAAAAAAAUAUUAAUGAGUAAAAUAAAGUUAAAAUGAUAAUAUUAGUAAAAAAAAUAUUAAGAUAAAAAAUAUUAAAAAUUUAAUAUUAAAGAAUUCGACAAAAAAUUUAUCCACCUGUUUAGCAAAAACAUGGUUUGUAGAAUAUAAUUAUAAAUCUAUUCUGCCCACUGAAUUAUAAAUUUAAAUGGCUGCAGUAUUUUGACUGUACAAAGGUAGCAAAAUCAAUUGUUUUUUAAUUAAAAACUAGAAUGAAAGAAUUAAUGAGAUAAAGAUUGUUUCAAUAUUAUAAAUUGAAUUUAAAUUUUAAGUUAAAAUGCUUUAAAUAAAUUUAUUAGACGAUAAGACCCUAUAGAAUUUUAUAAAAUUUAAUAUAAAGAGUUUUUAUGAAAAAUUAAAUUAUUUAUAUUAUUUAUAUUUAAUUGGGAGGAUUGUAAAAAUAA
rnacentral:rRNA from 1 species